rnacentral:rRNA from 1 species
UACAGAGGGCGCGAGCGUUGUUCGGAAUUAUUGGGCGUAAAGGGCGCGUAGGCGGCGCCACAAGUCACUUGUGAAAACUCUGGGCUCAACUCAGAGCCUGCAAGCGAAACUGUGGUGCUGGAGUAUGGGAGAGGUGCGUGGAAUUCCCGGUGUAGCGGUGAAAUGCGUAGAGAUCGGGAGGAAGGCCGGUGGCGAAGGCGGCGCUCUGGAACAUUCCUGACGCUGAGGCGCGAAAGCUAGGGGAGCAAACGGG